UACGGAGGGAGCUAGCGUUGUUCGGAAUUACUGGGCGUAAAGCGCACGUAGGCGGCUUUGUAAGUUAGAGGUGAAAGCCCGGGGCUCAACCCCGGAAUUGCCUUUAAGACUGCAUCGCUUGAAUCCGGGAGAGGUGAGUGGAAUUCCGAGUGUAGAGGUGAAAUUCGUAGAUAUUCGGAGGAACACCGGUGGCGAAGGCGGCUUCCUGGACUCUAACUGACACUCAUGUUCGAAAGCGUGGGGAGCAAACAGG
rnacentral:rRNA from 1 species